rnacentral:rRNA from 1 species
GACGAACGCUGGCGGCGUGCUUAACACAUGCAAGUCGAACGGAAAGGCCCUGCUUUUGUGGGGUGCUCGAGUGGCGAACGGGUGAGUAACACGUGAGUAACCUGCCCUUGACUUUGGGAUAACUUCAGGAAACUGGGGCUAAUACCGGAUAGGAGCUCCUGCUGCAUGGUGGGGGUUGGAAAGUUUCGGCGGUUGGGGAUGGACUCGCGGCUUAUCAGCUUGUUGGUGGGGUAGUGGCUUACCAAGGCUUUGACGGGUAGCCGGCCUGAGAGGGUGACCGGCCACAUUGGGCCUGAGAUACGGCCCAGACUCCUACGGGAGGCAGCAGUGGAGAAUAUUGCACAAUGGGCGGAAGCGUGAUGCAGCAGCGCCGCGUGCGGGAUGACGGCCUUCGGGUUGUAAACCGCUUUCGCCUGUGACGAAGCGUGAGUGACGGUAAUGGGUAAAGAAGCACCGGCUAACUACGUG